UGCAAGUCUCUGGCGAAUGGUCUUUGCCAGAUCAUUUUGGGCAGGUGGAGUGUCCGCGGCAGACAAGCGAACUGUGCCCAAAAUGCUGGCACUUGAAACAACGUCUUGGGUUUGGAAUGUAUGGUCUGACAUUGCAACUGAGAGACCACGCCCUGCUCACUCAGUCCAUCUUCAAUCUCAGAUUCUGUGCAUUCGAUGAGUUCAUCUUCUGAUAUUACACCUUUGGUUAUGUUCAGUGUGCGGUGUACGUUAACAUUUACAGUGCAGCAGGCGUGUCGCCCACCAUGGAGCCCAACUUGGGGAACGUGCCCCGC